GACAGAGGGGGCAAGCGUUGCUCGGAAUCACUGGGCGUAAAGGGCGCGUAGGCGGGAUGGCAAGUCAGUCGUGAAAUCUCUCGGCUCAACCGAGAAACGUCGGCUGAUACUGCCAUUCUUGAGGGAUGCAGAGGAGACUGGAAUUCCCGGUGUAGCGGUGAAAUGUGUAGAGAUCGGGAGGAACACCGGUGGCGAAGGCGGGUCUCUGGGCAUCUCCUGACGCUGAGGCGCGAAAGCGUGGGGAGCAAACGGG
rnacentral:rRNA from 1 species